rnacentral:tRNA from 1 species
GCGGGAAUGGCGGAAUUGGCAGACGCGUACGGUUCAGGUCCGUAUGGUGGCGACAUCGUGCAGGUUCAAGUCCUGUUUCCCGCACCA